GACGAACGCUGGCGGCGUGCUUAACACAUGCAAGUCGAACGGAAAGGCCCUGCUUUUGUGGGGUGCUCGAGUGGCGAACGGGUGAGUAACACGUGAGUAACCUGCCCUUGACUUUGGGAUAACUUCAGGAAACUGGGGCUAAUACCGGAUAGGAGCUCCUGCUGCAUGGUGGGGGUUGGAAAGUUUCGGCGGUUGGGGAUGGACUCGCGGCUUAUCAGCUUGUUGGUGGGGUAGUGGCUUACCAAGGCUUUGACGGAUAGCCGGCCUGAGAGGGUGACCGGCCACAUUGGGACUGAGAUACGGCCCAGACUGCUACGGGAGGCAGCAGUGGGGAAUAUUGCACAAUGGGCGGAAGCCUGAUGCAGAAACGCCGCGUGCGGGAUGACGGCCUUCGGGUUGUAAACCGCUUUCGCCUGUGACGAAGCGUGAGUGACGGUAAUGGGUAAAGAAGCACCGGCUAACUACGUG
rnacentral:rRNA from 1 species